AGAGAACUACUCCACCAUCAUCUGAUGUGGUUCUGAUGGCUGUGUGUUUCUCAGCUUUAUCCUCAGCCUGUGGGUAAUUUAAAAUAAAUACUUUUGCAAGUGAACCAAUAGAAAUAUUUCACUGUCAUUGGGCAGAAAGCUAAAAACCUAAUUACGUUGGAAGUAGGAAGAGGAAGUAAGUAUGGUUGGAAGAGGUGGAGUCUGGUGCUGCCAGAGCAGAAAGCACAAAGAAGAACGUGCUUUUAGGUGGGUGCCCUAAGAGACAUGAUAAGUGAAAAAGGGUAAGUUAAACUUAAUCCUAUUUCUUUACACCAAAAGCAAUAGAAAACCACAUUACUAUGUUAUAAGUUCUACUUAGUAUUUUAGAGGAGAGAAAAAUUAAAAUCCAGCAAGCAAAAUCUCAAGUUAUUAAAAAGAUUAAUCUGUUGUUUAUCACUAUAUCAUCUAUGCAAUUCACUUCCCUGUAUGUUCAUUAAAAUAGACCAGACCACACAGACACAGCAAUUGUAUAAUUUUGCUUAAGUGUCACGCGGAGCUCGUGUACUGACUUCCAGAAGGGUUGGGGUGGACACAGUAAUUUUUGCAUAACACUUGCUUAUCACAACUUUCCAGAUGACUCUAUGGUGACAUUAUGGCAAGGUUCAAAUCCAUAGCCAUUUAAAUCAUUUUCUGAGCUAGAAUAGAAAAAUCAGUCCGAGAAAUUUCAUCUACCAUAUCCCAGACUGAGGCAAAGCAGAUGCUUUCUUCCAUAUUUAAAACACUCACAAAACAGGAAGAUAGUUUCCAUCAUGCCAGUUCAAGCUACCAUGUUAAAGCAAGCAAAAAGUUGUGCUUUUUAAUAUACCUUAUUCUAAGUAGCUGGUUUAAUGGGAGAAAUAACCUUUGUACUAAUGAGAUUUUGAAAAAAACAAAUGAAUGUAAAAGCAAACACUGAAUCUUCUCUAAUACUCUUGUUGCUCUGGCACAGGAUCCAUAGCCAUUUGGGUACCAAAUGAUCCCCUCAGGGAUAAACAAUUUCCAUGGGUGCAAUUGGAUGUUCUGGUAUGUGUAUCAGCAGAAAGGGGGAAUAAAGUUAAGGAAGAAGACGGAGAGAAAUCAGUGUUUAAUUUUAUCCAAAAGAUAAGAGACAGAGGAAGAAAAAGAAGUACAGAGAGGAAGGGUAUCAAGAACCAAUGCUGAUGGUGUCAGAGGCAGAUACUCCUCUGUUCUGUUCAGUGAAACUAUCAUGAGAGCCCAUUGACUCUUCUGUAAGAAUUUGUAUAGUUUGCACCAUGACACCGUGCCUCAGACUGUCUUAAUGACUCAUUGUCCCUGUUUUGACACAACCUAACGUGAUCAGGAGCUCAUCAGCUAACUCAAAAUUUGUUUUCUGAAGGUUGAAAUGAGACACCAUCUAAAGGUGUACUUGCUAUAGUCUCACCUCUGAGUAAGGAAACAAAUGCUUUGUGACUUUGUGUCUUUCAGUACUAUACGAUUUGGGAUACUAUAGCUCAAUGUACCAUUAUAGCUCUUUCCAUGGAUUUCUAAAAUAUGCCUAACGAGUAACCAACUUAAUCAAUCCCAAGUAUCUUGGUGGAAAAGAUUUCCCCUCCCAACAUCAAAAACCCUUCAGAUAAGAUGAGUGCAUAAUAAGGCCAAUGUUUAUUUAUGUAGCUGUUGUAACUUAAAAGAGAUCUGAAGGAAACAUUUAUUCAGUAUCAUCAAGCCACUAAUAACUUCCAUGCACUCAAUAUACUGGUCCAUUGGCUAUGAAUGCAUUCUUACUUUUACAGCUUCCCUAGAAAUUCUUUAUCUGAAAAUUUACCAAAAAGCAACUCAUCGUAUCAUACAGUAAGAAACUAAAAAUCUAUAUCUAAGACAUAUUGUUGCUGUUUCGAACAAACCUGGAAUAUAAUUUGAUAAUUCAAUGAAAAUUUGUUUGUUUCAUAUUGUGUAUGUUAAAAGAAGUAGCAUUAACUGGAAUCAUCAAUCAAAAAAUUUCCCCAACAUCUCCCGGCAAGUGAUUGCAACAGCAGCUGGAAAUUUGGUAGACAUCUUUCCUUCCUAAUUCCUUCAGCAAGAACAUUUAGAACGCUGUAAUGAUUGGCUCUAAGGAAUCUUGUGUUUAUGAAAAACUAUCCUGCUUCUGCCUUAUGCAUUCAAAUUUGUCUCCAACCAGACUCUUUGUACGCCCUGAAAGCUCCCAGAGGCUUUUGACUACGUAGUACUGCCCCCAUGUGGGCCAAGGGUGUCAAUCGUACAAGGAGCACCUGCAUUGCAUUUUUGACAUUAGCAGAGGGAGGUAAAAACUAUGAUUUUUUUGGUAGUUUUUAUCCUAUACAUUGAUUUGAAUUUUCAAGGGAAAUAAACUUUUCCAGUCUCAGAGUUAGUCAUAAAAAGUAGCUGGGUUAAGAUGCCUGGAAAUAAAGAACAGAGGAGAAGGGAUAGGAAAAUCUAGGCCAAUGUUCUCUCUCACCUGGGAUUCUUGUUUUUCUCCGCCCAGAAGGUCAAAUCUCAGAUGAAUUAGUAUGCAGAUCACAUACACAGCAACUACAGUUCCAGACUAGGGAAUGUGCUAAUUGGCUCACCCGCCCGAAGUACCGGGGUACCAGUCGUCUGACACAUAGCCUCUGAGGGAAGCAGGACUUAAUGCAGGACACAAUGUUCUCACCACUCUGCACUGUCCCCUAUCCCUGCUUCUAGCAAGCAGCCUGGCCAUACGCAGCGAUGGCUGGAGCACUUUCAUAAUUAUUCCUGCUUCGUAGACUAAUGUGUACACUUGGGAUUUUAAAAUGCUAUCUAAUUCAGAAGAAAUUAAAAUUAAAGCCAGUGUCCCUCCAGGCUCCUUUCCCCAUACAUUUCUCCUGUAGUGUUCCAAACAGUGCUCUAAAUAGCAUCAUGCAUAAAAAGGUAGGUUAGAAACUCGGCAUUGGUGGUGCUAACACCCUUUAAAUCUGUCAUAGCAUUGAGAAUAUGGUUAAAGCUAGUCCCUUACCAGACAGUACAAUACAAGAAACAACUCUUUUGCUAGUCCUCAAAGAAGUUAAAUAAUUAAAACCCCUUUUCUAAUUCCUUUAUGAUUAGAGAAAAUACCUUAUAAAUAAAUGAGUAAAUAAAUAGCAUCUCAAAUAUGAAGAUUACUUG